UACGAAGGGGGCUAGCGUUGUUCGGAAUUACUGGGCGUAAAGCGCACGUAGGCGGAUCGAUCAGUCAGGGGUGAAAUCCCAGGGCUCAACCCUGGAACUGCCUUUGAUACUGUCGAUCUGGAGUAUGGAAGAGGUGAGUGGAAUUCCAGGUGUAGCGGUGAAAUGCGUAGAUAUCUGGAGGAACACCGGUGGCGAAGGCGGCAUCCUGGACCAAUACUGACGCUGAGGCACGAAAGCGUGGGGAGCAAACAGG
rnacentral:rRNA from 1 species